AACGAACGCUGGCGGCAGGCUUAACACAUGCAAGUCGAACGCCCCGCAAGGGGAGUGGCAGACGGGUGAGUAACGCGUGGGAAUCUACCCAUCUCUACGGAACAACUCCGGGAAACUGGAGCUAAUACCGUAUACGCCCUUAGGGGGAAAGAUUUAUCGGGGAUGGAUGAGCCCGCGUUGGAUUAGCUAGUUGGUGGGGUAAAGGCCUACCAAGGCGACGAUCCAUAGCUGGUCUGAGAGGAUGAUCAGCCACAUUGGGACUGAGACACGGCCCAAACUCCUACGGGAGGCAGCAGUGGGGAAUAUUGGACAAUGGGCGCAAGCCUGAUCCAGCCAUGCCGCGUGAGUGAUGAAGGCCUUAGGGUUGUAAAGCUCUUUCACCGAUGAAGAUAAUGACGGUAGUCGGAGAAGAAGCCCCGGCUAACUUCGUGCCAGCCGCCGCCGUAAAAC
rnacentral:rRNA from 1 species